rnacentral:misc_RNA from 1 species
UUGUAAUCGACUCUUGUACAAAUGAAGCAUGCCUUUAGAGGUAUUAGUGUCCACACUAGCCAAUGCAGUUCCAUUGACAUGAGAAAGUUGUCCAAUGUUAUUUUGUCUUUGCUGAAAAAUAUCCAUAUUUGGAGGUCUAUCCCCCACCUUACACUUUGAUGUCGCAGCACCAGGAGCAGAUGAAGGAAGGUUGCGGCGUUGAGGAAGAUUGAAAUGAUCAUAGGCGAUAUGGGCAGCAUGAUUUUGGGCUUCUUUGGAAGAACGGCAUUGGUCCUUGGGCGACUCGAAGGAGACUCCAUUCACUACAACAGUGGCUGUGAAACGAGGGUUGUGAUCAGGGCCGUCUUUCUCCGUCGCGUACUCUGGCAAAUUCCAUUCGAAUUGAUGGCAAAGCUCUUGUAGCUUCG